CGGUAGGUUAUUAUUUGAUGGGGGCGUAGCUCAUAUGGUAGAGCGCUCGCUUCGCAUGCGAGGGGCAUGGGGUUCAUUUUGCUCGAUUCCCCGCACCUCCAU
rnacentral:tRNA from 1 species